rnacentral:rRNA from 1 species
UGCAGUCGACGAUGAUGCCCAGCUUGCUGGGCGGAUUAGUGGCGAACGGGUGAGUAAUACGUGAGUAACCUGCCCUUGACUCUGGGAUAAGCCUGGGAAACUGGGUCUAAUACUGGAUACUACCUCUUACCGCAUGGUGGGUGGUGGAAAGGGUUUUACUGGUUUUGGAUGGGCUCACGGCCUAUCAGCUUGUUGGUGGGGUAAUGGCUCACCAAGGCGACGACGGGUAGCCGGCCUGAGAGGGUGACCGGCCACACUGGGACUGAGACACGGCCCAGACUCCUACGGGAGGCAGCAGUGGGGAAUAUUGCACAAUGGGCGGAAGCCUGAUGCAGCGACGCCGCGUGAGGGAUGACGGCCUUCGGGUUGUAAACCUCUUUCAGUAGGGAAGAAGCGAGAGUGACGGUACCUGCAGAAGAAGCGCCGGCUAACUACGUGCCAGCAGCCGCGGUAAUACGUAGGGCGCAAGCGUUGUCCGGAAUUAUUGGGCGUAAAGAGCUCGUAGGCGGUUUGUCGCGUCUGCUGUGAAAGCCCGGGGCUCAACCCCGGGUCUGCAGUGGGUACGGGCAGACUAGAGUGCAGUAGGGGAGACUGGAAUUCCUGGUGUAGCGGUGAAAUGCGCAGAUAUCAGGAGGAACACCGAUGGCGAAGGCAGGUCUCUGGGCUGUUACUGACGCUGAGGAGCGAAAGCAUGGGGAGCGAACAGGAUUAGAUACCCUGGUAGUCCAUGCCGUAAACGUUGGGCACUAGGUGUGGGGGACAUUCCACGUUUUCCGCGCCGUAGCUAACGCAUUAAGUGCCCCGCCUGGGGAGUACGGCCGCAAGGCUAAAACUCAAAGGAAUUGAC